GAUGAACGCUGGCGGCGUGCCUAACACAUGCAAGUCGAGCGAGAAGCUCAUGACGGACGCUUCGGUUGAAGUCACGAGUGGAAAGCGGCGGACGGGUGAGUAACGCGUAGGCAACCUGCCCUUUGCAGAGGGAUAGCCUCGGGAAACCGGGAUUAAAACCUCAUAAUACCGCAGUGAGACAUCUCGCGGCGGUCAAAGAUUUAUCGGCAAAGGAUGGGCCUGCGUCUGAUUAGUUAGUUGGUGGGGUAACGGCCUACCAAGGCGACGAUCAGUAGCCGACCUGAGAGGGUGAUCGGCCACAUUGGAACUGAGACACGGUCCAAACUCCUACGGGAGGCAGCAGUGGGGAAUAUUGCACAAUGGGGGAAACCCUGAUGCAGCAACGCCGCGUGAAGGAUGAAGGCCUUUGGGUCGUAAACUUCUGUUCUAAGGGAAGAUAGUGACGGUAC
rnacentral:rRNA from 1 species